UACGAAGGGGGCUAGCGUUGUUCGGAUUUACUGGGCGUAAAGCGCGCGUAGGCGGACGUUAAGUCAGGGGUGAAAUCCCAGGGCUCAACCCUGGAACGGCCUUUGAUACUGGACGUCUGGAGAUCGGGAGAGGUUGGUGGAAUUCCGAGUGUAGAGGUGAAAUUCGUAGAUAUUCGGAGGAACACCAGAAGCGAAGGCGGCCAACUGGCCCGAUACUGACGCUGAGGCGCGAAAGCGUGGGGAGCAAACAGG
rnacentral:rRNA from 1 species